UAAAAGACAAAUCCCAUUGUAGCAAGUCCAUUAAAGCUCAAUUUUUUUUGCCAGAUUGAGUCACGUGUCAGCCAAAGAUGGGUGCACCCAAGAGAGUUAGACAAAGGUUGCAGUGAAUCUCGGACAUAGCUGAGGAAAAUUGAGAGGGCAGCGGCUCCUGAGAGGAGGAGAGCAUAAGGCUCACUAUGGAAAAUCAUAAACCAGAUGAUACUAAGGAAAACCAAACUUAUUUCAUUACCAUAACCAGAAAAAUUAAUCAGCUUCCAGAAACAGAAAGGAAUUUACUUGAACAUGGAUCAGUAUAUGUUGGACUUAAUGCUGCUCUUCGUGGCCUAAUAUCAAACAGUCUUCUUUGAUACACGUUGAAUGUGACAAAAGCUCAUAUUGCUGCUGGCUUACCAAUGGCAGUGCUUCCAUUUCUGACAACAGAUAUAGCUUACAGUAGUUUUGUAACUUUACCUUUGACUACAGGUGAAAUGAACCGUGAAACCUGUACUGUAACCCAGAGUGGAUUGACUGGUCUUGUUUCUGGUGGUCUGUAUCCUGUUUUCUUGGCUAUACCAGUGAAUGCUUCCCUAGCAGCCAGGUAUCAGUCAGCUCCGCUACCAGAAAAAGGAAACAUCUUAAUAUACUGGAUUAGAAUUUUUAAGCCUAUCUUUAGAAAGAUGUUAUUUCCCAUUUUGCUCCAGACUGUGUUUACAGCAUAUCUUGGAUCUAGACAAUAUAAACUACUUAUAAAGUCCCUUCAAUUACCUGAACCUGGCCUAGAAAUUCACUAAUUUUAAGCAAAUUUGUAUACACACAAAAAUAAAAUGG